GACGUAGGGGGCGAGCGUUGUCCGGAAUUACUGGGCGUAAAGGGCUUGUAGGCGGGAUGGCGCGUCGUGGAGUAAAUCUCUCGGCUCAACUGAGAGAACAUCUGCGAUACGGCCGUUCUUGAGGACAGAAGAGGAAAGCAGAAUUCCCGGUGUAGCGGUGAAAUGCGCAGAUAUCAGGAGGAACACCAGCGGCGAAGGCGGCGCUCUGGGCUGGAACUGACGCUGAGGAGCGAAAGCGUGGGGAGCGAACAGG
rnacentral:rRNA from 1 species